rnacentral:rRNA from 1 species
GACGAACGCUGGCGGCGUGCCUAAUACAUGCAAGUCGAGCGGACUUUCAAGAAGCUUGCUUUUUGAAGGUUAGCGGCGGACGGGUGAGUAACACGUGGGCAACCUGCCUGCAAGACGGGGAUAACUCCGGGAAACCGGGGCUAAUACCGGAUAAUAUCUUCCUUCGCAUGAAGGAAGGUUGAAAGGCGGCGCAAGCUGCCGCUUGCAGAUGGGCCCGCGGCGCAUUAGCUAGUUGGUGAGGUAACGGCUCACCAAGGCGACGAUGCGUAGCCGACCUGAGAGGGUGAUCGGCCACACUGGGACUGAGACACGGCCCAGACUCCUACGGGAGGCAGCAGUAGGGAAUCUUCCGCAAUGGACGAAAGUCUGACGGAGCAACGCCGCGUGAGCGAAGAAGGUCUUCGGAUCGUAAAGCUCUGUUGUCAGGGAAGAACAAGUACCGUUCGAACAGGGCGGUACCUUGACGGUACCUGACCAGAAAGCCACGGCUAACUACGUG